AGGGUAUUAUUGGUUGAACAAACCAUCUUUAUGUGACUUUUGCGCCACAUAGAUUCCCUAAGCCAACAUCGAGGUGCCAACCCCCAUUAUUGAUAAGGACUCUUUAAUAGGAUUAGCCUGUUAUCCCUAAGGUAGCUUGUUCUUGUGAUCUUUAUUAAGGGUCAUUAAUUAGAUUUAUUUAUCUUUUAAUAGGGGAUGAUUAAUUUUCCCCGGUCGCCCCAACCGAAUUUUAUUAAAGUUUAUAUCUAUAUUAAAAUGAAGCUCUAUAGGGUCUUCUUGUCCUUCGAUUAAAUCUAACAAUCUUCAGUUAGAGAUUAAUUUUUAUAGGGCUCAUAGAGACAGUUUUUAUUUCGUUGGUCCGUUCAUUCUAGCCCACAAUUAAUGGGCAAGUGAUUAUGCUACCUUUGCACGGUUAGGAUACCGCGGCCGUUGAAUAAUAUCACUGGGCAGGAAUUACUUCUUAUUUUUUUGCAAGAAGCA
rnacentral:rRNA from 1 species